rnacentral:rRNA from 1 species
UACGUAGGUGGCAAGCGUUGUCCGGAAUUAUUGGGCGUAAAGCGCGCGCAGGCGGCCUUUUAAGUCUGAUGUGAAAGCCCACGGCUCAACCGUGGAAGGUCAUUGGAAACUGAAAGGCUUGAGUACAGAAGAGGAAAGCGGAAUUCCACGUGUAGCGGUGAAAUGCGUAGAGAUGUGGAGGAACACCAGUGGCGAAGGCGGCUUCCUGGACUAAUACUGACGCUGAGGUGCGAAAGCGUGGGGAGCAAACAGG